rnacentral:rRNA from 1 species
GUAACUUACGAAUCGCAUGGCCUUGUGCCGGCGAUGGUUCAUUCAAAUUUCUGCCCUAUCAACUUUCGAUGGUAGGAUAGUGGCCUACCAUGGUUUCAACGGGUAACGGGGAAUUAGGGUUCUAUUCCGGAGAGGGAGCCUGAGAAACGGCUACCACAUCCAAGGAAGGCAGCAGGCGCGCAAAUUACCCAAUCCCGACACGGGGAGGUAGUGACAAUAAAUACUGAUACAGGGCUCUUUUGGGUCUUGUAAUUGGAAUGAGUACAAUUUAAAUCCCUUAACGAGGAACAAUUGGAGGGCAAGUCUGGUGCCAGCAGCCGCGGUAAUUCCAGCUCCAAUAGCGUAUAUUAAAGUUGUUGCAGUUAAAAAGCUCGUAGUUGAACCUUGGGCCUGGCUGGCCGGUCCGCCUCACCGCGUGCACUGGUCCGGCCGGGCCUUUCCUUCUGGGGAGCCCGCAUGCCCUUCACUGGGUGUGUCCGGGGGAACCAGGACUUUAACUUGGACACAACAACACUUAGAGUGUUCAAAGCAGGCCUAUGCUCGAAUACAUUAGCA